ACCCCGCCCCUCCCUUGCUUAGUCGCUCGGCUGGCCCGGCUCACCUUCGGGGUGAAGGCUACCAGCGAGCGUUAUAGCAGACGACUUUAAUAAAUGCAGGCGGCAGCAGGAACUCUGGGAACUUGGGUGCCCUUGCCUGGCAGUAAGGGUUGAAUUAUCCGGAUCUGAAAUACUUUACAGAGCCGAGGGGUGAUAGGCUCUGCAAAAGCACUUUUUGCCCCUCUCCUUUAUGCCAAUACUCGCUGACUGUGCACACAAGUCAUAUUCAGUAUUAAAUACAAACCGGUCUGUAAUUCAAUGGCUCUAGCAAGACGCCUCUGAGAGGGCCAGGUGGCGGGUGCAAGUUGCUCAUUAACCCUUUAGAGUCGCAGUUUGCAGAUCUGAGUUAGAUCCCCGGCUUUGAGGUCCUUCAGUUGCCCUCCUCCCCCACCUCCCCCCGCCACUGCGAGAAAAAUGUGCAAAGAGAAGGAAAUUUGCACAUCAAACGAGGGGCAAUCGCGGCGGUAGAUGAACUUGAUUAGGCAGACGCGUGAGAUCAAAGUGGCCGGGACCAAAGCGGACAGGGUCCAACGUGCCAGCACUGCCAAGAGAAGGCCUUUUGUACUCAGGUUAAAUAAGAACAUCCUGCAAGGAGUCUGUUCUUUUAUGCAGCCUAAAGAUCAAGUAAUAAUCAUUGACACUGAUACUGAGCAUGUCGAUUUUGAAGAGACUAGCAUUUCCUGGUAAUGAAGUGGAGUAUAUAUCCAUAUAUUUCUGUUUUCUGGAUGAGAAGACUAACCUAACUAAGUAGGAACCUUGAAGAAUCAUGUUCUUCCUAGGAAUUACAAAUCCCCCGAUUCCAUGUCUAACAUAAUUUCUACUGGCCUCUUUGCUUCUCAUGCUUUAGUACCAGUGCUUCUGAAUUUGAAAGUCUUCAUGCAAAUUGCCCAGCUGACAGGGCAGCCACUGUUGAGGAAAUGCUGAUCA
rnacentral:lncRNA from 1 species